rnacentral:rRNA from 1 species
GACGAACGCUGGCGGCGCGCUUAACACAUGCAAGUCGAGCGGAAAGGCCACUUCGGUGGUACUCGAGCGGCGAACGGGUGAGUAACACGUGAGUAAUCUGCCCUUGGCUUUGGGAUAGCCACCGGAAACGGUGAUUAAUACCGGAUACGACCACUUCUCGCAUGGGAUGGUGGUGGAAAGUUUUUCGGCCAGGGAUGUGC